UUAAAGUAAAACAUUUAAGUAAGUACUAGCUUUUCUGGUGCCCACAUAGGGCAACAACACUCACCUAAGAUGCCUAUGAGUGACUGAAGGUGAGAAAACACCGGGGUACACUGUGGAAAUCUGAGAUGUGGAAGAAAUCAAGCUGUCACAGACGUCCCAGCUAGUCUACUGCACUCCAUGAUUAAAACUCUUACAUGUCUCUCAUGCAGCAUUUGAUCCAAGGCUGAAAAUUGAUCAUGAACUGAUUAGUUAAGAGAAGGAGAGGGGGCCAGACUCCAACAAAAGUCAGAUUUUGGUUGAAGUCAGAGAGAGGUUGUGAGAUUGCCAUCCCUUGACAUCUUUUUAAAAAAUGAAUUGUUUAAUCACCUUUUUUUUUAAGCUGAUUUCUUAGCCAUCUUGCAGAAAUAUGAGGCAGGGGCACUUAUCCAUUAGGUGCAGUAGGUAAGGUACCUAAGCCCAAUGACACCCUUAGCAGCCCAUGAAAAUGGUUUAGUUUCUUUCAUAAAAUGGUGCUGAAGAUAAUGAUAGUUGCAAAGGAAAAAAUACGGUAGACCAAUAUCAUAGUAUGAUACCAAGCAUAGGGCCUAUUAUUGGAAGCUAUUUCCAGUGCUCAGGAUAUUAACAUCUCCUGGAGUGUCUGCAAAACACAUCUUGAAGGGAGAACCAUAGUCCUCAAUUUGGCCUGCCUCUUUUAUUUGACAAUAAAGUUUUAUUUAUUUCUGAGCAUAAGAUUGGGAUUUUAUUUCUAGAAAAAGGGAGAAAAGGUGGAAGGAGGAGGAGGCAGGGAAAAGGUGGAAACUUGCCCAGGCCCAUAGCAGGAGCCCAACACAGGGAACACUUAAGCUUGUGUAGAGUACUUGUAACCAGAAGCCCGGAGGUGGAGCACAGCAGAGGAUGCAAUGUGCCACUGUCGCGGCCAGAGCCCAUGCAGUGUAAACAUUAACAUUCUUGGAUGCACUAAGCACUGGGCUGCGGUCUACACUUGCAUUCUGAGGUGGUGGAGUCAUGGCCAAAAUUUUGGAGUACUUGGACUUUUCUCAAGAAGCGUUGCACUUCUUGUCCGGACCGGGGAUUACCGCAGAUCGCAGCCCAGAGUCUGCGGAGGCGCACCGUUUCAUCAACAGCAGGGACUGAAACCAGCCCAGGAGAAGGCAAGAUGGCACCGUUAUCGCACCCUGGGAAUCGAGGACCGGGAAGAACUUAUUGGUCAGUGCCUGGAUGGUGACAGGUGCUCCAGUGAACUCAGGCAAACUACCUUUUCCUGCGACAGCCGAUUAUCUUUGUGCAGCUUUCAGUUUGCGGCCCCUAACCUCCUCCAGCCCAUAAACUCAGGCCUCCAGUGUUCUGAUCUUUCUCUUUGCCUUUCCGCCUUUCCAGAUGCGAUUCCUCCCGUGAUCUCAGUGAUUGUAUCAGGCGAAAACGAGGAGGGCAAAAUACCGUCCAAAUGUAAACAAGGAGCAGCCGCACCAGCAGCACCAGCAGAAUGCCGCGGUAGUGCGGCAGGCCCUGGCCCCAUGGACAAAGAGAAACUCGUCAGUGGCAGUGGCCACGAACUCAGAAAGCCUGAGGACAGUCAGCAGCUCCUCUGGCUCUUCACUUUCACACUGGUGCAACUACAGGAGCUGAAGAACAUUUUUCAACUCGUUCCAUACCCGGACGUGUUAGGAUCAGAUUCAUCAUUGGACUCCUGGACCUAUCACUGCGGACCUCAAAUGUGCACCUUUUAAGCCCUUUCCUUCACUCCUGACUGAUUGAUUUGGGAUCCACUGCUAAGUCAGACUUUUGAACCAUUGUUCCAGGCAAACUUCUGUUAAAGCUGGUAAGGAUUGAUUUGAUUCUUAAGAUUCUGAGUAUACUCUCUGAAGCAGGUUAGAGUUCCAGGCUUGUUUUGAAAGGUAUCUCCUAGGCUGGAUGGUUUCCUUCCUGGAUCUCUGUCUUGAGUGGGGAUUAUUCUCUGGCUCCCUGGGCUGAAAGCUUUUCUUUCUGGCUUUCUAUUUUGAGUGGGAAUUAUUCAUUGAUUCUUUGGGCUGGAAAAUUUUUUUUUUGAGACAGGGUCUUCCUUUGUUGCCCAGGCUGGAGCGCAGUGGUGUGAUCAUGGCUCACUGCAGCCUCAACCUCCCAGGCUCAAGCAAUCCUCCCGCCUCAGCACCCCUGAGUAGCUGGGAGUACAGGCACACGCCACUGUGCCCGGCUAAUUUUAAUUUUAAUUUUUUUUUUUUUUUGUAGAGACAGAGUCUCACUAUGUUGCCCAGGCUGGAAAUUUUUUUCCUUGUUACUUUGUGAGGCCUCUCUGUUCUAUUUGAUCCUGUUUUUCCCACAGGAACUUCUGAGUCAACUGAAACACCAUUCUUGAAUUC
ensembl:lincRNA